UCAGACAUGGUGUAGUUGGAACACAGUCUUUCCUUAUGGACAUGUGCUUUGGUUCUAAAGAGACAGUCCAGGGUUCGAAUCCCUGUGUCUGAA